GCAACCAAGUGACGUCAACAACGUCGAGGAAACGUCAGUAUUUGGUGGAAUAUAUACACGUAGUUGAACAUUACGUCAUAUCGACGUCUUUUGUAGGUGAUUUUAAAUACGUAAGAUUAAUGACGUUAAAAUACGUUUAAAAGACGUUUUCAUUUCAGCCAGCCUAAGUCUGACGUCACGAAAUUGGGAGGAGCUUGGAGCUUAAAAGUUACAAAACUAGGGUUAUGUUUGUAUCAUCGUUGUCGUUUCAUUUCAUUGUUUGUUUGUCCUAGUAUUUUGCCUUUUUUGGAUUCAUUUGGAUUUUGUUGGCUGUUUUGUGUGUAUUUUUUAAAACUUCUGUUUGUCAUUUGUAAAUUUUAUAAAUUUACCACAAUGCAAAGUGAUUAUUUAAGGAAAUUAUUAAUGGAAACUCCGCAGAUGUUUUAGAAAGAUAUUCAUUGAAGCUGAAAAUAAUUGGAGAUUUAGAUCCAUAUACAAUUCA